CUUUGCUCAAGUUCUGAAAACCCUCAUCAGAAAGGUCAAUCUACUGCUCUUCAUGGAUGCUUACAAGUCCUGUCAGAUGAACCAGAGCUUUUGCUCUAGGAAGGGUUCCUGAGUAAUCUGAGGAGCCAAACACAGCCAGUCUGCUGACCUUUCCCUCUCUCCUUUACUGCUAGGGCCUAAUUCUUGCAGUUUCUGCACUUUGCAUUUUGGAAGAGCUCAAAUAACUACCCAGUUUAUUUUUAGAGAAAACUCAAUGUCAAGACCAAGCUAGCACCACAUAAUUUCCACAGAAUGACAGGCAUUUAAGGACACAGAUAUUUUCCCUUUUACUUGUUUUCUUCUUUGCAUCAGCUCCUUUCUCUCUCUCUGUUCUAGCAGGGUGCAGCAAAACUCAGUGUUUUUUCUUACCUCAGUGUAAAUACCUCAGCUUUACUCAUCUUAAUUUGUAAUCCUAACAGGUCUUGAUUGAAUGCCACUGCUGCUGAGGUGCUGCUGAAGUACCUUCCUCACAGUGCCCCUGGAGCCCAGCAGAGCACUGACUUGAUGUUCUCCCUGGCAAGUGUCCUCACUGAGAGUCCCAGAAGUUUCAGUGUUGUCUCUGGCUGCAUCAGCAGGGAUAUCAGCAAUCCAGCUGGAAUGCAAAUCACCUUUGAGAACCCUUUUAAAUAGAACCACAAUCACAGAAACACAGGAUGGGUCAGGUUGGAAAGGACCACAGUAGGGUAUCUGGUACAGUCUCCCUGCUCCAGCAGGGUUAUCCCAGAGUGCAGGAUUGUCUCCAGACAGCUCUGGAAUAUCCCCAGAGAGGGAAGACUCCACACCCUCUCUGGACAAAUCUGUUCAGGGCCCGGUCACUGCACAACUCCAGUCCUUCACAGGCUCCAAGAUGAGCCUAGUAAAUACCAGAAAUUGCUGGUCGUGUUGUUCAGUGGUGGUCAGAGAAAACUCUGGACUUGUUUUAGAAUCUCUACCUCUUGGGGCAGAUAAGCUGGGAGAUGUGAGGCGCACAAGACAUUUGGCAGGGAAGUCUUCAGACUUUCCCUAAAACCACAGGUCCCAAGAUUGUCUGAUUAUGGCUAGAAAGAUCUCGAUCUCCUGACCCCCAGCCUUCAGAUUUAAUCCCUAUUUCCUAUAAUUUUUAAUUAAUUUAUAUUCAUUCCAUAAUUCAUAAUUAAUUCAUUAUUUCCAUCCAUUAUUUUUCUAUUUGUUUCUAUUUUUGCUUGUGUGUUUCUUCAUUUUUGCAACACUUGUUUUUCCCUUUUGAGUUUUUUUUCCUUCUCCCUGUUCAUUUUAUCUUGAAGUUUGUCAUUUGGGGUCUUUUCCUUUACCUUUGGGUUUGGCAGUAUUAUUCACUUUAUGAUGAUGUUUUUCCAGUAUGGCUGCCAAAAUGCCUCUUCUUCAUUCUUCAGGGUCUCUUUGCUCUCCCCAGGAUGAAAAAGGGCUGGAAAGUCAGGAGAAAACUGCUACUGGAUGGCAGUGGAGGGGAGGUCAGGCCAAACACAUCCCACAGGAGCUUGGUCACUUCACAGCAGGUAUCCACAAGGGGAGAGUCUGAGCAUCCUGCCCUCCUGGCCACAGACUGAGGAAACAGACCUGGGACAAUGGCCUCAUCACAAAUCCCACUCCUUCUACUCACAGUUUCCCCAGGUUUAUAGAAAGAAAAACAAUCUGAUUUUCUCAGUAGCAUUCCAGUGCAACAAGCAAUUGAGUGAAGAUUUAAAUCAUAUUUCAAUUAAUUGCAAAAAUGUGCACUCCAUUUGGCUUUUCACCAGUUCGAUUCCCACAAAAAUUUUUGAUCCUGCAAUUUACCAAUUUUUUAGGACUUUGUUCUCCUUGAAUCUCAGGGGAUUACGUGCCAGAAUUUGCCUAUACAGUGGGAAGGCAGAUACAUUUUAGAGGCAGGCUCAUUCUGUGACAGCAGACUUCAUUUUAUAUGCCUGCUAGCACCAUCUAUCCAGAUCAGAGGUUUUAGAAUCACAUCCCACUAAGGAAACACCACCAUGGAGUGAAGUGACACAACCGAAUUCACUAAAGGAAUAAAAGCAAGGCAAGUAAAUUUAGGUCAAGGUGAGUUUAUUGUCCAUACAGCAUACCUAAUCCCGCCAAAACACUUUUCUUAGAACCAUCUUUAAACUAGUCAAAACAAUAUGUUAUUAAUAAAAAUGACAAUACUGAACAAAGACCUUUUAAAAGGCAAUCAUACCUACACCGUAUCAGAGUCUUAUCCAUCAGAAACAAUCUCAUGUACUUUCUAAAUACUUUUGUUUACACUGAUGUCUACUACCACACUUUCUAGCAUCCCCUGACCACAUAAACAUCCACACCUCUUAAAGAGCACAUUUGUGAGAGAGUAACAUUGACUUGAUAUGGCAUCACACUCAAUAAAGGAAAAAAAAAAAAAAACCACUAGAACAAAACAAAACAAAACAAAACAAAAAAAAACCAAAAAAACCCCAAACCAAAACAAAAAAAACCCAAAAAAGUUUGAGAACAGAAACUGUGCAACUAAGAGUGAUUUCUGAGGUACAUGAGAACAUGGUAAUAAACAUAGUGGAAAAAAUCCAGUGGCCAGGUAGUUUGCUGAGUAAUUAAGAGCUGUCCGAUUACUCAAGCAUAAAUCAUAGACAUUGAAUUAAUUGGACAUGGGAUUAAUUGGUAUUUUUCUCUUUCACAAGCACGUUGGAAAUACAAAUAAAUACAUUCUGAGGUGCUCCUACACUACAGUAACAGGAAGGAGGAGAAGACCAUCGAAGUACCAUCAAUAAGAAGCUGCUUUUAGCAACUGUACCAAUCCUUUGGCACUUGGGAAGGCAGAAUCAGCAACACAUUUUCUAUUCUUUUUUCAUCAAUCAUCUGGGAGACUUACAAUUUCUGCAAUUCAGGGAGAGAAAAUCUCACACCUCAUUUGCAGUAACACACUUCCUUUAACAUCUGUUAAAAGAGAGUACAAGGCAGUCAUUUUAUUCAGAAAGCUACUGUGAAAGCGCUCAAAUUUUAGGGUUGGCAGCCUUCAAACAUACAGUAUGCUGUAACCAGAGGGUUGGCACUUGUUGAGCAUGUCACUGCAGCCGAGGACACUCCUCACCCUGGUGGGGACACACACAGACCCACCAGGACCCUGCGGAGACUGGGAAUGCUGAAUAGUGCUGCCCCUUCCAGCACAGCUCGCCUCCACCCUGCUGCAGAGCAACCAACCAUGGAGGUGGCCCUCAGCCCCUGUCCCUUCAGUUCUGCAGAGGGGUGACACUGGGAUCAGCCCUGUGUUCCACAGCAGGAAUCACCCUGGUGUUCCACAGCAGAGAUCAUCCCUGUGAUCCCAUGGCUGCUGUAGGACUGUGUGGGGGGAGAGAAUAUAAGAAAAUAAAAGAUAGUGCAGAAAGUAAUAUCACCCCUAAGGAGUUUCAGCUGGGCCAAUUAUUAAAGACUAGAAGCAGGCCUGACUUUAACAGGCCACAGCUGUAACCAAUAAGAAGAAGAGUGUUAUAAAAGAGUGGGUUGGCUACUUUGUGAGGAAUUGGGAGUUGGCUGGCUACUGUGAAGAAGAGAGUCAGUGCUCUGAAGAGCUGCCCAUGAAACCACACCAAGAAGGUAUGAAACUUCUGUGAUAAAGAGACAACAAUAUGGAACUUUUGUGAUAUUAUGACAACAGGACUGGGGUGUGAAGGAGGCUGGAUGAAGAGCAGGGGCGGGCACCCUAAACACAGGUCCUGCCUAUGCCUGGCCUAUGGCACAGAGCAAGUCAUGCCAGCAUGGUGGACAUGGUGCCAGUGGUCAGAGAGGUCACCCCACCUUCCGGACCUUCUGGUAGAGCUCCCCAUGAAGCCAUGGGGCAGGGCUGCCAAGGAGAUGUGCAUGUGGCUCUGCAGUCUUGCUUCAACAAUACCAGCUAUUUUUUUUCCUCUAGGACAGAGACACUGCUGCAGAAUUCUGGGUGCUCCCAAUGCAGGACAUUGAGGCAGGAGGUGAGGCCAUGGCUGUGCCCAGCAGCAGCUUUGAAAAGAAGAGACCUGCUCGCCAAUGGAGAGUCAAUGCAUUUUUUCCACUAUGAAAAGGAUACCAGAGACCAAAAAGGAGCCAGUGCCCCGCCUCGGCUGCUUGCAACCUCUCCCGGGUGGGCCCCGGGGCAACCAAACUGUCACUGUGUGAGGUAUUGUGAAAAUGGGAACCAUUUCUUGUCCAGCAAACCUGAGGUAAGUAUACCAUCUUUGCAGGAUGUGAUCAGGAAGGAAGGAGAUUAGAACAAAAAAAAGAAAGAAGAAAGAAGGAAAAAAUAAAAUUAAAAAAAAAUCAUGAACACACUAUUAGGGGAAAAAAACCUGUACAGGGCAUUUCCAGUAAAUCAAAGAACUCAUCAUAUCUCCACUUAACCAUCUACUUCAGGAUUUGAAAUUUAAGCAGUAAAAUAAUAUAUUAUAAAAAUGUUUAUAAAAUAGCAGCACACUCAGUGAAACAAUACAGCUAAGUACUGUUAAUGUGAAUAAGAAUGAAACAAAUCAUAGCUUCUUAGCAGCGCAAAAAAAAAAAACAACCAAAAAAACCCCCCCAAAACCAAAAAAACAACAAAACCUUAGAAUCUUACUCCAUUUUCUACCCUCAUCUAGCCAAAUAGGCUGAGUCCAUAUAUAUAAUGUUCUUCGAAGUAGCAUGUUCUUUCUGGAUUUUUGUGUUAAAAAUACGAACAUUAACAUUUCAACCAACAGCUUCAUACUGGAUGUCUGCAAACUGUUAAUACAA